CACAGCUGGAGACCAGACAAUGGGGCUGGAGGAGACCUCAAGAACAAGAGUGGGAGCAAACAGACCAGAUAGGAGAAAUCUCAAGUGUAAGUUUACUGAGUUCUGAUAAUUGCAUACCUCUGGGUAAUCCAAACUCCUCUCCAAACAUUGACCAUGACCAUCAGGUGAAAAACCGAAUGGAUUAAAUUGCCCUGAUGUCACAUCUUGUAACCAAUAAAGACAGAAUCCACACCCAUACACCUGCCAGCAAGUUUGUUGCUUUUCUACUAUUUCAUGCUGUUGCCAAGUUUCCAUUCUAUGGUUGCACUUUAAAAAUAUUAUC